CAGCUACAUAGAGAGAGAGACAUCUGUCAGAAGUUAUUUGUGAAAGAGUUUGCCAAAAGCAACUAUUAUAUCUCCUCUGAAAAAAAUAACUGGGAAUAUGCCAACCGAGACUGUCUGAAGAAAGGGGCAAAGCUCGUCAUCAUAAACAGUGAAGAGGAACAGAAAUUCCUAAUUGCAUUAAACAUACGUACUUGGAUCGGUCUGACUGACCGAGAGAUUGAGGGGACCUGGAGAUGGGUGGAUGGCACACCUCUCACCAC